rnacentral:tRNA from 1 species
GGUCGGUUAGCUCAGUUGGUUAGAGCGUGGUACUAAUACAUCAUCAAAUGUGUUGAGUAAUGCCAAGGCCGGGAGUUCAAGCCUCCCACUGAUCA